GAUGAAGAACGUAGCGAAAUGCGAUAAGUAAUGCGAAUUGCAGAAUCCGUGAGUCAUCGAAUCUUUGAACGCACAUUGCGCCCCUUGGUUAUUCCGAAGGGCAUGCCUGUUCGAGCGUCAUUAUCACCCCUCAAGCCCUGGCUUGGUGUUGGGGAUCGGCGUGCCCUCGCGGCGCGCCGUCCCCUAAAUCUAGUGGCGGUCUCGCUGUAGCUUCCUCUGCGUAGUAGCAACACUCGCACUGGAUCGCAGCGCGGCCACGCCGUUAAACCCCCCACUUCUGAAAGUUUGACCUCGGAUCAGGUAGGAAUACCCGCUGAACUUAAGCAUAUCAAUAAGCGGAGGA
rnacentral:misc_RNA from 1 species